rnacentral:lncRNA from 1 species
GGAAGUGGUCCCUCCAUGUUUACUGUUUGACACAAAUUUCUGAAUGGAGACAAAGUUGGGAUGAUGACACUUGGGGUGCUCUGCACAAUGUGGAGCCGUACAAAUAAUUGAAAUUAAUGAAAAAGCUAUGAAAGAAAAGAGAAAAGGAGACAAAUCCCAUGGAAUCCACAAGGUGUUUUGAUUGAAGUCUUUCUAAACCUUC